rnacentral:lncRNA from 1 species
AGGAAUUUAUAUAGUCAUACUUUGCUUCAUACUAAACUUAAGAAAGCAAGAGGAAAUUUUUUUAGAACAGGCAGCUUAAGGCCGCUCCCGUAGGCAAAGCUACUUAAAAUUUUAUCAAAAUAGUCGAGACGAUAAAUAUCAUAGAAAACAAGAAGAAAGGAAGAAUUUCCGGGGAACGCCUGAAAAAUUGUCGGAAGAAUGUUAGGCAGGAUGGUGUCGCUGAAUGAACCAAAAAGACACCCUUAAUGAUGGCCAGAAAGAGACAAGAGUAAUGCACUCGUGAAGAGAAGGAAAUAUUUUUGGGCAGACAGACAGCGUAACACUGCUUGCUGGUAAGUAAUAAACUCUAACACCAUGAAGAAAAAGGAAGAGAAGAAAACACUUAUUGAAAUUUGUUACUAGCAAUAUACAAGAGGACACUAUGUAGGAGUUUUAAUUUACAUGGGAUAUGGGAAGUUUUAUAAAUCUCCGGUUUUUGAUAUUCUCCUUUCUUAUAAAUUUGGGUUUCUGACAUUCUCCUUUUUUAUAAUUUUCUUGGGAUGUUCUAGGAGAAAUGUAAAAAAGAUGAAAAUGUUACACAUACCAUCAAAAGAGGAUGGUUAAAAUAGGGAACUGCUAUUGAGUGUUAUGUGAUAAAGAUACCUACCAAAGUUAAAGAAAAGUUCUAUAGAAUAGUUGUGAGGCCUCUAAUAUUCGACAUGUUCACAAGAUAAAUGUCACAAAGAUGCAGAUCCUAAUAUGGAUGGGCAAUCAAACAAUAUUAAAAUGAUAUAUUCAACAGAAGGUGUAAGUCGGAGGCAGAUUUAUAGGCAAAAUUAUGGGGCAAGUGAACCAAUGGUCUUUCCGCAAAAUUAGAUAAAUGUACAUAUUUUCUAAAAUUGGUAUAAUAUUAAUUGGCAGCACCCAUGCUCCAAGAGGGUUGUGGUGCACUUGGUUGAAGGUAAAGUUAUUUACCAAGAGGGAUAGCGAUCAAUUCUCACUUAAUACAAUUUUUCCUUCAUUUUUUUAGUAGUGCACCCAUGUACUAGAAAUCCUAGAUCUGCCCCUGGUGUAAGUAGCACACAUAAAGGAUAAAACGAGAAAAGGUCACUUCAGAUGAUUCAGCCCCUAAGUUGACUUCCAAAUGCUUCAGACUACAAGUGUG